CUGGCAGCUGGCAGCGAGGAUGACGUGUGGGGCUCUCUGAGGACAGACUGCAGGAGCAGACAGCUCGGUGGCUGAAAUGAUGCAAGUUGACAGGGAUCAGCUACAAAGCCACCCCAGGGCGUUUCUGUGCCCCCAGCACUCCCCUGCAGCCGUGGGCAAUACAGCCCACGUGAGAUGUCUUGCCUGGCAGGGCAAGUACUGGCACAGGGAGGGUACAGAGCUAAGUCAGACAGCAAAUGAGCCAAGAGAGGAAAAGGAGGCCCCUCCUGGCCCUUCAGCCUGGGCUGCAGGAGCUGAUGUACCAGUGGAGAUGUGUUUGCUGGAGAAAUUGUUACCGAGCCAUGGUUUCCUAGAGACACAAUCCAUCCUUGGGAGAGUGAUGGACACACUGUUUGCUGCAGCUGGGCCCUUCCUUCCCCUGAGCUGGGUCAGUACCAAGCUCAGCUGGCUAAUCAAAAGUGGUCUGCAGAAGACUUUAGUGACUUGGAAGGCAGUUCUGAGACUCCCCCAGACUCAGCAAACUUUCCUGAUCCAAGGAACCAAAAAACAAAGAUGUGUCACAGGCCUGGCUGAAUAUGGGAGCUGGGAAGACAGAGCUCAUUCAUCAGAAAGCCUGGAAAUCUCCUGGGGAAAGAUGGAAAACAAAUUAAUAUCUCAUCUGCAAGCUCCUAUAGGUUCUCCAGUACUGAACUAUUCCAAAACAUGCUUUAAAAUCUCCUGGUGUCUGUGA
rnacentral:lncRNA from 1 species